rnacentral:rRNA from 1 species
AAACGAUAGCUAAUACCGCAUAACAGUAGAUAUUGCAUGAUAUCUGCUUGAAAGGUGCAAAUGCAUCACUACCAGAUGGACCUGCGUUGUAUUAGCUAGUUGGGGGGGUAACGGGCUCACCAAGGCGACGAUACAUAGCCGACCUGAGAGGGUGAUCGGCCACACUGGGACUGAGACACGGCCCAG